AAAAACUUAGGAUAAACAAACCAAAAGCCUUCAAAGCUUGAAAUAAGGGUGCAACCCCCUUAGUUUUUG
rnacentral:tRNA from 1 species